GCGUAUCCUGUUAAGUUUAGUGAUGUUAUUCCACACUUAGACUUUUACUGCGGGAUUCCCAUUUCCGUGUUCUGUACAGGUCCAUCAAAGUUAUAAUUUAGGUCCAUCAAAGUAUUAGACAGUCUGUACUCUGUAGAUUUUCGUGUAACAUGGAGUUCACAUGCAGAGCUUAUCAAGAUGCGACAAAGAUCUAAACCGUGAAGGCAUAUACCAGUUUUUAUUGAUGUACAAUCAAAUUGCUAAUCAUAGGAUAUUAUGUUCGUCGUUUGGUAGAAACCAAAAACCCUGCUAUUGAAUGGUGUGUAUAUAACGAUUUUAUAACUCGUAUCAGGUUAUCAGAGAUGUACAUAUUGUUUCAAAACAGAAUUUUCAUUUCAUUCUCAUUUAAUUUAGAAAAAUAGUUGAAUUCCAUUGCUAUGGAACACAAUUUUGAGCCUAUUCUAAUUAUCAAAGAACUAAUUUCCUUGUGCUAAUUGAUAUUUUUAAAGGAUACAUAUUAUGUCGAGUUGUAAUUUGCGGACCAGAGUGGUGGCUUUUGGAGUAGGUUUUGAAAAAAUAUUUUAUGCUGCUAAACGUAUCUGGAUGGGGGCAUUUAGAGAUCUAUUGUUUGAUAUUGGUUGAGCAUUGACAUGGGUUGACAGCUGUUAAUGUUUCCCAUUCAACCAGCGUUGAAGGAGGGGUAUUUUUCACUCUUGACCGUUCCAUGCCCCCAUCCAGAUAGGUUUUACCCAAAAUUUCAAAUUAAUCAGUUGAGUAUAUUUCAGACGUGAUGAUGCGUCAAACAUAAUUCCCUAUUCCUUACGUGUAUAAGCCAGUUCUUUCCUUUAUUAUAGUAUAGAAAACUGAAGAAGACAUAAUACUUGAAAACCUCACAGAAUCAUAUUGAUUUUUCCAAUACAUCAAUAAAUUUUAUUUCGAUUAGGAUCCUCCUCAAUUUGAAUCAGGCAGCCUUCUGUUUUCCAAUUCCAAACAAAAUACCUAAAAUACUCGUUUCACUGCGAAUUCGUGUCCAAUAGUACAUUAUAACUGAAGAAUAUAAAUUAUUACUUAUUCUAUUGUGAUCUAUUCAUGUUUUUCUUAUGAAAUUCAAUGAUAGGCCUACAGCACGAAGACUAUGUCCAUUUCAUUUGUACUGGUGGCAAAAUUUUACAUUAAAAAUAAUUAUUUGAUAAAAUCCAAGUUCAAUUGUAAUGAAAACAAAUUCCUUCAAAAAAUAAUUGAUAAUAAUAUGUUUCGAGGAAAAAAAUUAAGAACAAAGAAAUUGGGAAAAAUCGGGAAUCGAACCGAGGAUCCAUCGCUCCAUAAGCUAAAGCAACGCUUUUUUAGCGUUUUACCGUUACGCUAGACGGCCGUUUGAAAAUAUUAGUCUUGUAACAGCAUUAUAACCUCCUCAUAAAAAAACACACACUUCUGAGCUGCAACAAUGUAGCCUAUGGAACUUCAUGUACGGUAGCAUAGAUUUGAACAUUAAUUCUGAAAAAUCUAGAAGGAAAAUUGAAAUUUGGGCUUCCAGGUGCACGAGAUUGAUAUUUUUAGAAUCUAAGUGCAAAAUUUGGAGAUCUAAAUCAUUCCCGUUUUUCCGAUAUGCAAUCUACAAGUUGACAUGUUUUGAUGCGAACUAACACAACCCUACUCUCUCUUAUUAUAUAGAUUAUCGAGAAAAUAGUUUUGGUUGUUGAAGUAAUAUUAAUUUGAAAGAAAAGCUGACUCUGCCAAAAGAAUGAGGAAUAACUUCACGCGCUCCUGAGUGACAGAGUAGACUUGUGAAAACGUUUUGAGCAGUCGCAAUCUUUUAAACAAUUAAUUAUCAUUAUUAAUGUAUAUCGAGAAAAUAGUUUUGGAUGCUGAUGUAAUAAUUAUUUGAAAGAAAAGCUGACUCCGCCAAAGGAUUCAACAGGAACAAAUCCGUGCGCUCCUGAGUUAUGGAUGCUGAUGUAAUAAUUAUUUGAAAGAAAAGCUGACUCCGCCAAAGGAUUCAACAGGAACAAAUCCGUGCGCUACUGAGUAUAGACUUGUGAAAACAGUCGUAAUCAUUUAUUUAUUGGAUAGUUAUUCAGAAAAUGGUUUCGGAUGUUUAGUUAGUAAUUAAAAGAGCGAUGAAAGGUUUCUAUAACUACCACUUUUUGCAGGCAUAAGCUACGUGCUAAGGAACAGUUGCAGACUUUGAUAAUAUAUUCGUCUGUGUAAACUGUUCAAAAGGGUCACGCUUACUUCUUAUUGAAAAAAAUAAUAAUUUAAUCAAUAUAAAAAAUUAAUUGACAAGCCUGAUUUAUUCGAAUAUAUUUUAAAUAUAUAGGAAACGUUUCUACAAAGUGCGUUGUAGAAUUUGUGUUAUCCUUUGUGUAAACUGUUUGAAAACAGCGGCAACCUCUUCUUUAUUGAAAUAUAGUGAGGUCCACGUUAUAAUGACAGUGGAUAAAGAUAGAAGAAUAGCGAUACCGAUUCUCUGCAUUAAUUCAUUAUAUUUCUACACUGUCAAAAACAUAAUUGGCACCGUUGUGGACCUAGAAAAGGAUAGUGUCACUGGCUUUGUCGAAUGAUAGACAAGAAUAGCAAAACCAAAGUUGAUAAAAUACUGUCAUUAUAACGUGGACUUCACUAUAGUUAUGGUCGAGACGUAAUAUUUCAAAUCUUCUGUUCAAUAAGAAUAUCCACUGGGACCGUUAUACAGUCAUAAUGUAGAAUCAUACAGUCAUACAUCAGAUCAUAGAUAUUUGAUCGUCUUCAAAUACUUAAUAGUAUUUUAAAGUGAUUUUGUUCUUGCAAUCUUCACUACAAGUAACUUAGAAAUGUGCAAAAUUUUCCAACUUGCUGCUUCACUGUAAGAUUUGAAACACGUUGCAAUUCAAGUGUAGAAGGAAUUUUUAUUAUUGUAAAAAUUCAAGGUUAUAGUUUUAAAAAUGUGCAAUUUUGAAGGCAUUUGAAUUGGGUCAAAACUGUAAAAACACUGGAUUUAUUUGAAUGUUUUUAGGAAAAAGGUUCAUGAAAUUUGUCGAAAACAAUACAUUUGAUAAAAAUAAAUGCUAAACUUAUUCUUUAUUCUUUUUUAUUCAGAAUAAAAGUCUAAUUUGUGUAUUCAUAAUUUUUUUAUAAGCUACUCAUUAUUUAAAAACAAUUGGUGCAUGUUGUGUGUUAAUCUUAAUAUUAUUACAAAACUUCAUUAAGUUGACAAGUGCGUUUUAAUAAUAAUAAUUAUUUUUUCCCCCGUUUUGUAAUUUAUUUAGUAAAGUAUUUUCUUUUGUGCUGACAUUGAAAAAUUAACUAUUAAGAAAUUGAAUUUCUAUGAAUCGAUUCUUCUUAUUGUAAAUUUUUAAGUUUUUCCACCACAAUGAGGUAUAUAUUGGAUAAAGUAAAUUAGCAUGAAAUGACCAUUCACUAAUAAAAUAAUUUGUAUUGAUCAAUA